rnacentral:rRNA from 1 species
CGGAUAUUCCAUUCUACAUGGAUAACUGUGGUAAUUCUAGAGCUAAUACAUGAACAAGUGUUCCAACCUCACCUCGGUGAUGGAAGGAUCGCAUUUAUUUACACAAGACCAAUGAUCCAUUCAACUGUCUCCUCUCCCUUCGGGGUCUGUGUGACGGGGAUCUAACAAUACUUCGGUAUUGUAAUGCUCAAGAUGACUCUAAAUAACUGAGCAAAUCGUAUGGCCUCUGAGCCGACGAUGUAUCCCUCAAGCAACUGCCUUAUCAACUGUCGAUGGUAGAUUAUGCGCCUACCAUGGUUGUAACGGGUAACGGGGAAUCAGGGUUCGAUUCCGGAGAGGGAGCCUUAGAAACGGCUACCACAUCCAAGGAAGGCAGCAGGCGCGCAAAUUACACAAUCCCAGUACGGGGAUGUAGUGACGAAAAAUAACAAUACGGGACUCUAUUGAGGCCCCGUAAUUGGAAUGAGUACAAUUUAAAUCCUUUAACGAGGAUCUAUUGGAGGGCAAGUCUGGUGCCAGCAGCCGCGGUAAUUCCAGCUCCAAUAGCGUAUAUUAAAGUUGCUGCGGUUAAAAAGCUCGUAGUUGGAUUUCAGUCUAACCAAUCGGGUCCACUGAUAAAGGGAGUUAUCCGUUUUGUUUACAUCUUGCAGCACUUAACUGUGUCUCGAGUGUACAUCAUCUCGGUUCUCCUGGUGGCUACUCUGAUUUGUGUUUUGACAGAAACACUCCGAUAAAUGCUAUCAAUUCUCUUCAUUGAGUGUUGAUCCAAGCAAUCGGAACAUUUACCUUGAAAAAAUCAGCGUGCUCAAAGCAGGCGUCCCAAACCUCGUAAGAGGUGCCUUAAAACGGAUCAAGCGUAUUCCCAUCUUAACCGAUGUGCGAAUCACCUUAUCCUAACCUUGAAUGAUCUUGCAUGGAAUAAUGGAAUAGGACCUUGGUUCUAUUUUGUUGGUCUUAAGAACACAAGGUAAUGAUUAAGAGGGACAGACGGGGGCAUUUGUAUUGCGGCGCUAGAGGUGAAAUUCUUGGACCGUCGCAAGACAAACUACAGCGAAAGCAUUUGCCAAGAAUGUUUUCAUUAAUCAAGAACGAAAGUUAGAGGUUCGAAGGCGAUCAGAUACCGCCCUAGUUCUAACCAUAAACGAUGCCAACCAGCGAUCAUUCUGAGUAACAUUUACAUGACUCGAAUGGAAGCUUCCGGGAAACCAAAGUUUUUGGGUUCCGGGGGAAGUAUGGUUGCAAAGCUGAAACUUAAAGGAAUUGACGGAAGGGCACCACCAGGAGUGGAGCUUGCGGCUUAAUUUGACUCAACACGGGAAAACUCACCCGGCCCGGACACUGAGAGGAUUGACAGAUUGAGAGCUCUUUCUUGAUUCAGUGGGUGGUGGUGCAUGGCCGUUCUUAGUUGGUGGAGUGAUUUGUCUGGUUAAUUCCGAUAACGAACGAGACUCUAUCCUACUAAAUAGACUUGCAGUUUACACUGCAGUAUUCCCCCACAGUUUGUCUGUUGGUGGUUGACAUCUCUGAUCCUUUACGGGUGAAAGGGCUCUGUUGAUCGUAAGCCUUCAGAACUAUUCUGUGGUAAGGAUGCUGUAGCACUGUAAGGACUUCUUAGAGGGACAAGCGGCGUCCGCAGCCGCACGAAACAGAGCAAUAACAGGUCUGUGAUGCCCUUAGAUGUCCGGGGCCGCACGCGUGCUACACUGAAGUGGUCACCGUGCAUUAACAUUCCUGCUCCGAAAGGAGUGGGUAACCCCUUGAACCCAUUUCGUGAUGGGGAUUGGGCAUUGUAAUUAUUGCCCAUGAACGAGGAAUUCCCAGUAAGCGUGAGUCAUUAGCUUGCGUUGAUUACG